AAUGCUCUUCUUUAGCUGGUUGACGCCGGGCCAAGUUUAGCCGAUUCGAGUCAUUUGGUCCCCUUCAACCAGCUGUAGUUGGCAUUUAGA
rnacentral:pre_miRNA from 16 species